rnacentral:lncRNA from 1 species
CUUCGAGCAUCCUUAGCUGUUGCUGCAGCGAUGUAUAGCCGCGAAGCUGUGGUUUAUAAUUGGAACCUGGGUUCGCGCAAAUCGGUUGCGAAUUACCCAAGCUUGAUUCACGGUGAGUUACAUUGACAAUCCUAAUCUCUGUGCAUCCUCAUGAUAAGCAGGAACUUGGAAUGUUGAGAAGCACCUUCGACGAUUCGAAACUUCAUGAACAGGAAUCCAGGUUUCAGGUUGUGCAGAAUCCUCAGCUGUUUGGGUUGCCGCAGCUCAACUCUCUUGUUUAUGCUUUAUUUAGCAGCACAAGUUCUGUGAGCAAAUGGGUCAGCUGGCUGUCUCCGGCAACUUUAUCCAACCAGUCGACAAUUCUAAUCAUUCCCAGCCUUCUGUUCGAGCGGAAAGACGUUCAUAAAUAUCAAGGUGAAAUAUCAGAUUGAUCCUUUUCUAACUGAAUAAAAUAAGAAUAAAAUGCAUAUGAGUUCACCUUUUGUGACAAUCCUAACCAUCGAAACUUGAGGAGUGUUAUGAAAUCAGCAUCACAACAAUGUCCAAUCCCUACAACAGGGAUGAUUCGUAUAACUCCAAAACAAAUAGAAACAUCCACUAUCCAGCACAGAUUUACUGAAAAAUACUUCACACCCAAAUAGCGUGGCUAAACUAGUCAUAAACGAAUUCACAACUCUUUAACAACAGCAGAUCAAGAAGUUAACUUUUGAGACAAGAAGUUCACAAUAAUCUUU